rnacentral:rRNA from 1 species
GAACCUACGGGACGCAGCAGUGGGGAAUAUUGCACAAUGGGGGAAACCCUGAUGCAGCGACGCCGCGUGAGCGAAGAAGUAUUUCGGUAUGUAAAGCUCUAUCAGCAGGGAAGAAAAUGACGGUACCUGAGUAAGAAGCUCCGGCUAAAUACGUGCCAGCAGCCGCGGUAAUACGUAUGGAGCAAGCGUUAUCCGGAUUUACUGGGUGUAAAGGGAGCGUAGGUGGCAGGGCAAGUCAGAUGUGAAAACCCGGGGCUCAACUCCGGGAGUGCAUUUGAAACUGUCCAGCUAGAGUGCAGGAGAGG